rnacentral:sRNA from 1 species
UACAUGCUAUAAUAUGAUAGGUAAGCAAGUUUAUGGUGGUGGCUAGCUCUUUCAACAAGAAAGGGUGAUGCCUAUGAAUACUUUUGUUAGGAUUGCCUGGAAAGGAUAAUCCAUGACCGUUUAUGAAGCACUGUCUUUUGCAGUUGCUUUUGCGACCCUGGUGUUGCUAUUAAACAGU